CAUGAUCGAAGCUUGCUUUGAUUGAUGGCGACCGGCGCACGGGUGAGUAACGCGUAUCCAACCUUCCCUGUAGUAGAGGAUAGCCCGGCGAAAGUCGGAUUAAUACUCUAUGUUGUAUUUAGAAGACAUCUGAAGAAUACCAAAGGUUUACCGCUAUAGGAUGGGGAUGCGUCUGAUUAGGUUGUUGGCGGGGUAACGGCCCACCAAGCCCACGAUCAGUAGGGGUUCUGAGAGGAAGGUCCCCCACAUUGGAACUGAGACACGGUCCAAACUCCUACGGGAGGCAGCAGUGAGGAAUAUUGGUCAAUGGACGAGAGUCUGAACCAGCCAAGUAGCGUGCAGGAUGACGGCCCUAUGGGUUGUAAACUGCUUUUAUAUAGGGAUAAAGUGCACUACGUGUAGUGUUUUGUAGGUACUAUAUGAAUAAGGACCGGCUAAUUCCGUGCCAGCAGCCGCGGUAAUACGGAAGGUCCGGGCGUUAUCCGGAUUUAUUGCGUUUAAAGGGAGCGC
rnacentral:rRNA from 1 species